rnacentral:rRNA from 1 species
UGCAGAGGGUGCGAGCGUUAAUCGGAAUCACUGGGCUUAAAGCGUUCGUAGGCGGGUCUGUAAGGCGCGUUGUGAAAGCCCUCGGCUCAACCGGGGAACUGCUUCGGCGAACCACAGAGUCUUGAGUCAAGUAGGGGCGAUCGGAACGAUAGGUGGAGCGGUGGAAAUGCGUAGAGUAUCUAUCGGAACGCCGAAGGUGAAGACAGGUCGCUGGGCUUGUACUGACGCUGAGGAACAGAAAGCGUGGGGAGCAAACGGG